AAUUUAAAUCAAAUUUAAUCAUAUUAAGAAACAAUAUUAGCUAUUUAGUGUAUACUAUUGGCUCUAGCGCCUCGCCCGCAAGCGACCUUGGCGAUCUUAGAUGAUAUCGUUCAUUUGAUGUGUUGAUGUUGGUAUUGUCACACAACCACUGCCUCGGCCGCAAGCGACCUCGGCGAUAUUAGAUGACAUCGUCCAUUUGAUGACUUGUUACAUAACCACUGCCUCGCCUGCAAGCGACCUCGGCAGAGUGAAAAUAAAC